rnacentral:sRNA from 1 species
CUUAGCGUGUAGAUUGUUCACGGGGGGCAAAUCCAUACCAAAUUCUAACUGCUUGCAUUUGGGGUGUCUUUUCAAAUUACAUUCUUUUUGGAAUUUGAUAUCAAUUGUAUUUUCUGAAUUGAGCUGAUAGAAUAUAAGCUCAUGCAGUUGUAGUUGUAGCCUCUAAGGAUUUUGAUUUGGGGCUUGUGGCUUGAAGAAAGUGCACUUUUAGAUAUCGGAUAUUUUCGCACAUGGCUCCAAAUCUGAGGCUAAGAUUAUGUUUUCCCGUGUUUUUUUUUCUUGCUGGGUUUUCUCUUGAAUUCAAAUGGCGAAUUGAAUCAUCAAGUUUCACUUAAGGUCAUAGCUGCUCCUCGUAAAGAUGUAGGAACUAAUGUAAUUGAUGGCACUGGUGUAGAGAAUGCCUUUAAUUUUGAGAAUGGCAAUAGUGCGGUGGGUAGUAGGA